CAAAGAAGUUCGCAUAGUCGGAAACGUUCCGAUGCGACUAAAUGUGAAUGGAAAGUGUCGGGGAAAGUGACACCGGCACGUUGGAUUAGCACCGCUUUUGGCAGCGUCAUGGACUGAAUCGUGAUAAAACAAGGCGUGACUGACCUUUUCUCUGGCAGCCUGUCUAACCACCCUGGGGUAUAUGAUGGCUGGAGGAUCGGCUUUAAUUGACGUGAUAGCACCCCUGAGGUCAGGCAAGAGUCGAGUUCUGUUGACCGUCUGUUUCAAGAAAUGCUCCAGCCUGACUAUCACGUGCUGAUAAUCCAUAAUGCAGUCGAUCUACCAAGGAUCCUCAUCGAGGACGGCGAGCAGCAGGGUGAGUUGAAACGUGGACACAAACAGCUCGAUUGUUCUCUUGUAGGAUAACUCGCGAAGUGGCGUGCACCCAAGCAAGAGGAGUGGGCAGUUUAAAGCAGCACAAAUGGAACGCACAAUAUGAGCUUUGCCGAUUGAAUGCGUAGAAGAGGAUCAGCUGAGCAGUCAGCUGAUGUGGGCUGGCAUAGAGAUCUCUUCUGUCAGCUGAUGUGCUGCACAGUACCAGCAACCUACUACCUGUACAGGGAAUAAUUGGAUUCUGGAUUUCUAUUAAGGUUUUGUUUUAUGAAGCUUAAACCCUCACAUUUCACAAACAUUCUACUGCUUUUGCUAGCGUCAUCAGUUUGUCGAUGUACAGUGUAAUUAGAGUUAUUUCGUCAUAAAGAAUAGUCAUUACGUUUCAGUGUUCGCUGGCUUCCUUAACCUGCCUCAUUCAC